rnacentral:rRNA from 1 species
GACGUAGGGCGCGAGCGUUGUCCGGAUUUAUUGGGCGUAAAGAGCUCGUAGGCGGCUUGUCGCGUCGGUUGUGAAAGCCCGGGGCUUAACCCCGGGUCUGCCGUCGAUACGGGCAGGCUAGAGUGUGGUAGGGGAGAUCGGAAUUCCUGGUGUAGCGGUGAAAUGCGCAGAUAUCAGGAGGAACACCGGUGGCGAAGGCGGAUCUCUGGGCCAUUACUGACGCUGAGGAGCGAAAGCGUGGGGAGCGAACAGG